rnacentral:rRNA from 1 species
AUUGAACGCUGGCGGCAUGCCUUACACAUGCAAGUCGAACGGUAACGGGCCUUCGGGUGCCGACGAGUGGCGAACGGGUGAGUAAUGCAUCGGAACGUACCUUUCAGUGGGGGAUAACGUAGCGAAAGUUACGCUAAUACCGCAUAUUCUGUGAGCAGGAAAGCAGGGGAUCGCAAGACCUUGCGCUGAUUGAGCGGCCGAUGUCAGAUUAGGUAGUUGGUGAGGUAAAGGCUCACCAAGGCGACGAUCUGUAGCGGGUCUGAGAGGAGGAUCCGCCACACUGGAACUGAGACACGGUCCAGACUCCUACGGGAGGCAGCAGUGGGGAAUUUUGGACAAAGGGGGCAACCCUGAUCCAGCCAUGCCGCGUGAGUGAAGAAGGCCUUCGGGUUGUAAAGCUCUUUCGGUCGGGAAGAAAUCGCACGGGCUAAUACCCUGUGUGGAUGACGGUACCGGAAUAAGAAGCACCGGCUAACUACGUGCCAGCAGCCGCCGUAAAAC